UAAGCAGACCUCUAGGGUUCCGGUCCAUUUUUGGGUGCGGCGUCUGGUCCGAGAGAGGUCGGUUCCUAGGUUUUCCGGUGGGAAGAUCCAGUGAAUUACACGGCGGGAUAAAAGCCCGGGAGAG
rnacentral:sRNA from 2 species